GAUCCUGUAGCUCAGCUGGUAGAGCACAUCACUUUUAAUGAUGUGGCCCUGGGUUCGAAUCCCAGCGGGAUCA
rnacentral:tRNA from 2 species